ACCACGAGCUCCAUCUCCUCCAAUGAAAGAGGUACCACAGGGUGUAGGCAGGUUGCCAGGCGCGCUCGGCAGCGUGACCGCACUGCAUUGAGUUUCUUUAAUGAAAGCCAGGAAAGAACACAUUACACAGUGUUUCUUCUGCGAGCUCGCUAGCCUCCAGUGAUUGAAAUCAAUAAAAACAGUCGGCAAGGGGCCCAGUGGGGGAAGAGAGAAACCUCCACUACGGCAUUCAGUUUGCUUUGCACUUUCUCCCUCCCCCCUGAAGUUAAACUCGGAUCACCAUGACGAGCUGCUCGGCUCCCAGCGCUCGCACCGGGCUUUGAGGGCAGGGAGCGCCUCGGCUCCUGCUGCCCUGCUCACAGAACCACGGCGUUGUGUUCAGAUCGAAUCCCUCCUGGAGAAGUUCACCGGACAAGUGCACUGCCCCGCACCCAGAAGGGGAAAGCUCUGCAGGAGGAUGGUAGGGGAGCACGGGGAAGAAGGAGCCAUCUGAGCCAGCGGGAGCCCGCGUCCUGGUGAGGAUGCCGAGCCAGGGGACCUGCGGAUCUGCUGGCAGCCAGCAGCCCAGCUCACAGCGACCUGCACCGUAGGGCAGCCCAGCGCUCAGCAGCACAUCAGCGCAGAGCCAGUGGUUCCAUCUUCAAGUGACGUCCUUCUGGGCUGCACCUCAUCUAUAGCUUUGGGAAAUUUAGACUUGGGGGAUGCAGCCGAUGAUCCUCAGGCACUCAAGGACUCAAGAGAAGUCCCGAAAUCCAGAGAAACUGCAGAAAUAGACUGGAGGAACAUCAGCACCUGGAGGAGUGAAUUGGCAUCACCUCUGCGAGCUGCUUGUCCUCCCUGCCAAGAAGGAAUGGAGGCAGUCAUGCUCUCCUCCCCACCUCCACCAGCAGGCCACCACAGCAGCUAACACUGGAAGCCCACAGCUCACAUGAAAGGCUUUUACGCGCUGACAAAGGCUGCCCAGAGCGCGCUGCUCUCGCUGCUUAAUGAGCCAAGGACCAGAGCCAGGAAUCAUUUAAUGCUAACACCGGCCCUGCCAGCACCGAGUGCAGCUCUGCAGCUCAGCAAACCACUCUGACUUCUUCAUUUUCUCCUCUGCACAACGAACACAACACUUCUGCACCCAACAACCAUCUCCCCACUGUUUAAAUCCCGAUUUGAUGCUCAAGCCGUGAACGCACCGCCUCCCUUCCUUUCACUUUGAUAAAGUAUAGUCAGUAUCAACAGGCAACACUUUCUAAAAACUUAUUUCCAGCUAUUGUGAAACAGGAGCUGAAUGUUUAUGGAGUAGUUACUUUUUAUGUCAGUUUACCAUAGGGCCUCUUUAGCCACAAGCUUACAGCCGGAGGCCCCGAGGCAUUUUUGGGAAUGGAAACUUUUGGAGCUCAGCUCUUUACAAAUUUCCAGCGCACAGCAUGUUUUUCAUUAGUCUACAUGGUGUUAUAAUAAAUGAUGCACUUCCUCUUUCAUUUUAUGAUUUUUUUAAACAUGCAACAAUUUUUUUCUGUCUGUUUUCUAUUACUUUAAAAUACUCAACCACAAUCACCAUCCAGUCUGCUCCGUGUAUAACGACAGAAGGGAUAUAUUGAGUAAGAUAUCAGCUAGAACAAGACAAGCUUCUCAUUCAAAUUCGUCACUGAAGUCCAAUCAUAAAUGCAUUCAGUGCAUUUUUAGGGGCCAUUGUUACAAAAAACAGUAGUAAGUCUGGCAUUCCAGAAGCUGAAGUUGGCCCAGAAGAGGCUCCUUACCUGCAGGACACAGCUGAAGCAGUGUGAGCUCGCUAGCCAGAUGCUAAAGCCAUGAAAAACUCCCCAUGCCUUUGCAUAGCAGAAUUACACAAAGGGCUUUUUUUGCAUAAGGAGAUAUAAAGCUGACGCUCAGCUCCCUUCCCUGAGUGCAGCUCUGAGAGGUGUUAGCUCUCAUUUUCCUGGGGCAAAGCACCAGGAUUCCUCAACUGCUGCGGUGGGUCCUUUACAUUAGAGUAGAAUUAGACCCCAGGAAGGACACACGUAAUUGUCUCCUUCAAAAGUUUAUAAACAAGAGAUAACAGCAUCCCAAACAAAAACGUUGUAAAGUUAUCACUCUAAACAAAACAGAGUAUAAAGGGAAAGUGUCUAAAAAAAAAAAAGAGAGAAAAGAAAGGAGCCAAGCACACAGUGUUUGAGAAUGUAACUGCAUCCUAACAGCACGACUACCCACAUUUAAAGCAAGCCAAAGCUCUUUGCACUGCCUUGUUCCUCUCAGCCCAAACGAGUUUGGUGAGCUCUGCAGGCAGUCAAGGAAAAUCAAAACCAAAUGUCUGAAACAUCUCAGAGCUGAUGUCUGAGAACGCCGCGUUAUCAAGAAAUGCUCAUCUCCCUUUGGGCUCCAUUGCACUCACUGCUGGUAGUAACUGAGCUCAGCACAUCUGUAGCAGACAAAGCAUAGGGACAAGAACGUCCAUACAUUUGUUCAGUAAUACUGGGGAACGUCUGUAGGUGAAAGCCUGAGAACUGAGAAAAAGGAGGAACCAAUGCUAAAGAGUCCCCAGCAAACAAAGGCCAUGGGGUGAUGGGCUACAGGUUGGAGUGGCUGAUCUCAGUCACCUUUUCCAACCUCAGUGAUCCCAAGAUCAGCCUUUAAUGCUGAGGAGAUGGAACCUUCCAACCUCUUUUUAACACAGAAAAGAAAGUGAAGGCCAUCUGUUGCCACUGCCAGCAAGGAAGGAGGGCUGAAUUAAGCAGAUCCAGCUAAUGACAGGACCCAGGAAGGAGAAAGGAUUAUCAUUACACAGCAUUCAGUUGUCUGACCCACUUCACCAGAUUUAAAACAAAACAAAACGAAAAUAAGAAGAAAUACAAGUUUCAUAAUCACACCUCAAAAUAACAACUAAUUAGACACCGCAAUUGCUUAAUGGCAGAAAAGUACUUACUAAUGGGAGCAGCAGCUCUCGACUACGUGCCCAAAUCUAUAUUUGAAUACUUUUCAGAUGAUAUAUGGUUGAUACAUUUAUUUUUAGAGAGCCUUUUAAUGUUCACCCUCUAUAAAUAAUUCUCAAUAAGAACACACUCCCAGGGCUGGCAGCACCAGGAAAACCAGGCUAUGCCAACAAGAAGGCAUUCCAGUCCAACUUCAUCACGUCUAGCACACCAAGUUUCAUUUACAAAUCUUUGAUUUCCAGAUGAAUGGCAGUUCAAAGUACAUUUUAAAGACAGCUACUUUCUGCCUAUGUAUGUAGAGAUUGCUAGAGAUUAAGUCACUUUAAUUACAGACUUCAGCAGGUGUAACUUUGUGAUACUCUUUGAAUUUGGUUUAAACUGAUGAAUGUUCUGUGAUUAGCCAGCAGUGAGCUUUAGAAACAUCAGAGAUCUCCCAAACGCAGCAAAGGAAAUCUACUGAUGGUCUGAAGUUUGGUGCUGCUCUGUCAUUUACUUAACAUACACAUAACUGAGUUGGAAGCAGCACUCUGAAAUGCUCAGCAAUAAAGAAAAGCCCUGGAAGCAGCUGUGGGAGGGAAGCCCAGACCACGGCAGACCAACACAUUGCAGUGGGCUUUUGUCCUGGUUUUUAUAUAUGUAUUAAACGACCCAAAGUUAACUUGCAGCAUUAAGGCCUACAGCAUUUAAAUUAGAAGCAUUUGGGAUUCAAAUGGUUUAAACAUGAAAAUGGAAUUAUUUCUAACUCAUUCUUCUCUCGGUGUCAUGUUUUAGGGUGAUAGCAAUAUGAAUCCCCUGUUUCUCCAUUACUCAAACGUUCUUUCUUGGGGAAAAAAAAAAAUAAUAAAGUAAUCCAAAGAUUAAUUCUAAGCUAUCAGAUAAAAAUACCAUAGUAUUUACCUUAACAUUUUUUGAAUAUAUACUGAAUUCAAGUGAAGUGAUUUCAAAAGUUACCCUGGAUGCUUUUCUCAUUUGAAGACAUUAAAUAUUGGCUCUCACAGAUUUCCAUUAUACAUUGUCUGACAAUAUUUGCUGCUGCUGAUUACAGGAGCUGACUUAAUUCUUACAGUGCUAAUGACAAAGUCUUGUACAAGUUGAGCACAGACGACAUUUCAGAGUUUCAUACUUAGUGCAGAUGUAAUUGCACAUAAGUGUAAAAAUUGGUAGUGCUAAAUGCAUAAAUUCCCUUUUGAUCCUUUUUGAAUAAUUAAAUCAACAGCUACCUUCAAACCUGCCUCCAAAUCCUGCUUUAAAUCAUCAUUUACUGCUGACACCUGAAGACAAGGGAAGGGCACAGACACACUUAUAUAAUCCAGAGCACAGGGAACUUGCGAAUCCCAGACUGAAGUCCCAAAGCCACAACAAAGCCAUGGACAGAGCAGUGGGAGAAACCAGCCAUGGAAGCAGACAGCAAUGCAGCAGCUUAGGGUCAACACAUGGCAUGUGGUGCAACAGCUCAAAGCAAGGCUUAUAGUGGAUGAUUUGCAGGAGGCACAAUUCUGGGAGCUCCAACUUAUCCUAAAGAAACAACUGCACGGUUCUGAAAAAAAUCACAUUUUCAUGUUUUUCUCUUCAUCAACUGCACCGAUGCUGCAGGAGAGAGAAAAAUGACAAACAGAAAGGGAGAGAAAGAAGCCGUGUUCUGUUGCUUCAGCAGAAAGGUGCAAAUCUGGAGUGACUGCAAAGGUUUGAGUGGCCAACAGGUGCUGUGUGACUGCGUGCUCCAGCUGGCUGCACGGCUCCUCGUCCAGAGAUUGCAGCAGGGCUCGCCCUUGGCCAGAAAGGGAAAACCACCACAGGUAGGGAAGGUGCUUUCAGUACCCACAUCAGGCACAGCUUAAUAAGAGAACCUCACAGGGCUGCUCCACCUCCAGGUUUACUCGCUGGCGGCUGGUUGUGUAACUAACAACAGAAAGGAGCCAUUUCCAGCUCAUUUUGCCUUGUGAGCCCCAGGCUGCCAGGAGGAAGCAUGGAGCUCAGGAGCAGCUUUCCUGCCUGCCUUGCUGGGUGUUCCCCUUUGAAGAGGCACCCAAGCAGCAGCUCGCUCACCUGUUCUGUAGGGUCGUCUUUAAAGCAAUGCUUUCCACCCUUUGAGGUUAACUACAGAGAAAUGCAAUUAAUUAAGCAAGUCAGUGGCAUAUAACUCCAGCCUUUUAUUUCUACUGGGUGUCAGAGCAGGACACAAGUCCUGUCUGUAGCAGGAUUUUGGAGGCUCCACAGAAAAUGCUGUACUUUACAGAUCGAUCUGAUAGGGUUUGUGCAACACCAGCCCAACCUGUGUCAGAGGAAACCAAAUAGCUAUCAAUUAAAGGAACCCAACAGCCUGUGCUGCUACUGUGAGGUAUGGAGCUGGUGCAUUAAACCUUUGUUCUCAUUUUUAUGCUCAAAUGAAGAGCAAGCCUGGAAGUGAAUUUUAAGUGGACUGCCUCCAAAUUGGACAGGCUAACAAAUCUUCAUUUGUUAACAAACAAAUGGACCCCCAUUGGCCAUGGGGGCUGCAAUGCUGCAUAAGAAAUGCAUCGAAAGCUGCUCCUAGCAGUAGUAUCCAAACACCACUGCUUCCCAAAUAUUUUCCUGGGCUACAAUGUUUGCAAACCGAGCCCUCUCUUCUUGCAAAGCUGCCAGGAACAUUCUCAACAGUUUCAGUUCUUAAUAACAACAACAACAAAAAAAAAACAAACAAAAAACAUCUCCACAUUAUUAAAAAAAAUUAUGGAGAAAAGAUGGCAAGGAAUCUAUCCUAAUAUAAUGGCUCUCCCAUUUCCACAUAGCGUGUGUGCUGUUUGUUUUCAUUCUUGAAGACCAGGAUUUUAUAGCUGUAAUUACCUCAUUUUCUCAUGGUACAAACAGUCCAAUUUUUAUUCAUUUUGAUAGCAUUCUUCCCCUGGUUUUUCUUCCCCUUAAAGCUUGCUAUUAACAUCAAAUACAAUAGAUUCAUACAAUCAAAAUACCUGUUGGGGGAGAGAUUCAUUAAUAAAUUGUAUUUUCAAAUCAGCUUAGAGCAGAAGUGUCAAUAUGAAAAUGAAUAACUAGAGGGAAUGAUGCUUUAACUGACUCCUGAAGUUUGAAGCAUAUUAUGGUGGUUCUAUUUUUAAAUUAAUAUCAUUUAAAAGAUAGUUUCUCAACCGUAGCCUUAUCUUAAAAGAUUUCUGUGCAGUAAUUUUCCCCAUAAUCUGGAGGGCGUUGAGAGGUAAUGUUCAAUUGAGCAGACCCUGGAAGCAAGGAGGUGCUUCAUGGUCAGCUGGCUGUGAAAUCCUGUAGCUGCCUGCAGCCCUGCAUGCAACCCUGCUGCUUUAGGUCUAAGAUUUUUUUAAGUGUUUAAGGACAAGGAGCUGCACCCCACUAUUUAUCAAGGACAGCCCUGGCCUGUACUUCUGCCCUGCUUAAACAGCACCUGUGCUAUUUCCCCGUGCUGGGAAGCAAGCCGUAGCACCUGCAGGUGCAAGACCUGUGGUCUCUGCAGAGCAAGCAGAGGAGGAAAGCUGUUCCCCUCCACAACCACCUGAGGUCUGCAGAAGGAAGAACUUCUGAGAGUCCGGUGGCAGGGAAAGGUCAGGAGCAGGGUAUUAUAUUCUGCAUGUUUGGAUUAGCACACAAUGGUUAACUAAACUGACUUAAUAUCUAAUGACGUUUUCAAACAAUAGCUCAUACAAUUAUCCAAAGUAUGCAGAAAUAAAACACGCAGACAAACACCACUGUGGUCCCUCAGACAUCCACACAGCAGUGCGUGUCAGCGCUCUGGCCGUGCAGAUUAGAGGUCAGGUAUAAAUGAGCCUGAGUGAAGAAUCCCCUGAACAGAAAAGGCAGAAGCACUCCUUCCUGCUUUGCCCGUUAUUUUCAGUCCCACUUGUAUGCAACGAUCAGUUUCUGUCCCAUGCUUUCAGCAUACAACCAUGUUUUUGGAAACAAAAUCACUGUGCUUAAAAAAAAUAAAAAGCAUGUUACUGAAAUGAAUCACAAGCUCAGAACGCUCCCAGAAAGCCGCUGGGAAUUAGCUGGGUUAGCAGGUCUGAGGGAUUGUCACUAAAACCACAUCAGCAUCCUGAGUCACGUCAGCUGGGGAAGGCGCUGUGAUGGGGCAGAUGCUGUCACUGCUCUCCAACUGCUCUGCACUGCUCCCUUACCAAUGGAGCCGGCGUUAGGAAUAUUAAAGUCAGGCACCUGUCUCAGCAGCUUGAGCUGCUUGUGAGGCACCCUCGAAAGUACAGCUUUGUGGUCCUUUUUGAAACCAAGCUGCUGAUGCUACAAGCAGGGCUGCCAGCUUCACCACAGCCCUGGGAGAAGCUGCUUGAAAUGCCCAAAGCAGGCACUGCUGGUGAAGGAUUAGUGUGCAACCACUGUGCUGCAGCUCAGGUACAACUGUGCUCUCCUUUAAGGGGCAAAAAGCUGUGCUCAUACAAAAGACAUCUCUAAAGCAACUCGUCUGAUAUUUGCUGGGAAGUCUUGCUUGCUUCAGCUGAUUUGCAGAUACAAUUUAUUUAUUUUAGGUAACUACCAAAGCAUUUUUGGGCACGUUAAGCCAAAUAUGAACUUGCUGAAUUCUCAUACUAAGGUAAAACACAGAUAACACAAGUCCUGAGUAGAUUCCCUUCACAUUACUUCUCAGUUCAACACUUACACUGAAAAACAGGAAAAAGCAUCCAUCGGUGACUGCAAGCAUCUGUGCAAUGGAACAAGGAGAUAACUGCCCACAUUGCAGCCUCUCUAUCAAAUACCAGUGAGGGCUGUUUGCAAUCCUCCGAAGGCACCGUGAUGUCAGCUUGGACUCAAAGCACGCUGAGGUUCUGACAACCCUUCCAGUUAAAACUAUUCCUUAUAGACAACUUCCACAUGGGUAGCAAAGGCCCACACACACACACACUAAAUUCAUUGAUGCCACAGUGAUGCUUGAACAAAACCACUUCAGCUCACACAAGCAAUACCCUACCAACCACAGUCCUCAAUAACUACUUCUACGUUACCCUUGUGAAUUGCUUAAUCCCUCCUGAGCAGUGGCUCUACCUAAAGCUGAAUUACUGUUCCAAGCACUCCUAAAAGAUCAACCUUGGUGAACAAAACUGAACUUGUUUGUCUUUGUCUCACUUAGCUGCCACAAAUAGAAAAUCAGAGCAGAACUGCCCGUCAGUUUGUAGCAGCUGUCAGAGAUGACAGCACUUCAAACACGCCGUGCCUCCACUUUGCAGCAUCGCAGAGCAGGGUGCAGACAUACAUGUGUAUUAUGUACACAUUCAUCAUUCAUUUUAGGCGUCAGCUCCUUUUGGGUUAACAAGGAAAAGCAUCCACUACGCUUCUCUGCUGUGGGCAGGGAGAAAAAUAUAAAUUAAUUCUUCAUUACAGUUUUACAAAGCAAAUUAUUUAGCGGCAAUUUGUAUUCAAGCUAAGCACACAGAAUCAUGAUAUUACACUCUUUUUAUUCAAAUGAAAGGAAUUUACAUUCACCUACAAUCUCGUUAAAGUAAGAAUAAUGAAGCAUUUUCCUUUUUUCUUUUCUUUUUUUUUUAAUGAAAGCGUUCUUUCUGAAUGCUUAAAAUAAUUCUGAGGUUUAUAUUUUAGUAUUUUUUCAAAUACAGGUUGGCUCUGCUUCAGGUCUAACGCAGCUUUCUGUUUAAACUCCCAAGCCAGCUGGAUGCUGCAGGCUUCUGCUGCACAGCAGUGCUUUGCAGAGCUGGGCAGGGUUUGGCUCCUGACAAAUACAGCUGGGAGAGCUGUAAGGGAAGUUCAGCUCACUGUGCCCAGGGUUUGCUCUGCUGUUGGCACGCACGGCCUUGCAGAAUAGCUACUUCCCUGGUAAAAAGUCCUUUCUGGUACAAAAGCAGCUCCUCCAAUGGAUGCAGACACUAUUUGUCGCUGGUUAUGCAACUCUAGCAAGGGCUGGGCUAUUCCUGAACCACAGUCACAUCCUUCCAGUUUGUACUUCAGAAACAACAACAAAACCCUUGCGUGGUGACACGGUGGCACACAGAACAGACCUUCUGGCAGCACUGGGCCCUGUGCCCAGCACCCCUGCACCCCUCUGCCACCACUGCACCGCGAUAUCACUGCGGUUUUGCAACCACCCUCUCCGCCAAUAGCAGCGUGCAGCUGAAGCUUAAAGGAUUAUGUGUAUGUAUGUGCAGGGGAAGUCACAUGUAAAUACAGACUCGGUGCCAUGAACAGGGCUGGUGCAGCCUGCUGCUAAGCCUCCCUAUUGUUUACUC